AAGUGUAACCAUGAGCUUUGUUUGUUCUUGUACUCUUUGUAUGUUCCUGGUCGCCACCACCGACUGCGAGCGGGGGUCCUGGUCCUCUCCCUCGUCGUCCUCGGCGGCGGCAUCGCGGCUUGGCGCCAUCGCCGUGCCCUGCGUCAACGUCACGAUCAGCUUCCCGGAUCACCGUCUUCACGAGGUUGGUCGAAGAGGGCUGGAGUUCAUGCUGUUCCUGCUGUCCCUGUUCGUGUUCCUCUUCGGUACCUCCUAGUUCAUCUUCGACCUCAUCCUGGGCGACGGCCGAAGGCAUGAUGAUAGUUCUAUUGCUGUCCUAGUGUAGCGAAGGUAGCCUAGUCGACU